rnacentral:misc_RNA from 1 species
AUCGAUUCAAAGGCCCCUACCAAACUCGUAAUGUCUGGGUUAGAAAUUCACAUCGAAACAGCUUAAUAAACAGGCGUUGAAGGCA